rnacentral:rRNA from 1 species
UACGUAGGUGGCAAGCGUUGUCCGGAUUUACUGGGCGUAAAGAGCGCGCAGGCGGUUGGAUAAGUCGAAUGUGAAAGCCCCCGGCUCAACUGGGGAGGGUCAUUCGAUACUGUUCGACUCGAAGGCAGGAGAGGGAAGUGGAAUUCCCGGUGUAGUGGUGAAAUGCGUAGAUAUCGGGAGGAACACCAGUGGCGAAGGCGACUUCCUGGCCUGUUCUUGACGCUGAGGCGCGAAAGCUAGGGGAGCAAACGGG